rnacentral:lncRNA from 1 species
UUGGCUUCGCUAGGUGACGGAGGCGCCACAGGUAGGGCGCGCUUGUGUCCACAGCGGAACAACCUGCACAGACUGCGCUUGCCUGUUAUCGUUGCCCGGCGUGCCUACUGGCCUCUGCAGAAGGUCGCGUUCGAACCAGUCGGCGUCCAUAGCAUCCAUGGCUGUGUCGUAGUCCAAAACUGGAGGCCGACGUUGUGUGUAAAGAAUGGAUUCUCACGUGUAUCUGAGCGAUUCGGCAAGGCCUUUCGCUUUUGGCGCAGUUGGACUGUUCCCCUGGAAAAGAAAGAAAGCGGUACGUCACCGCAGUUUACGACAUGGUCACGAACGACAAUGUUCGCACACGCACGGCCAAAAGAAAAAUAGCGCGCC